GAAGGGGGCUAGCGUUGUUCGGAAUUACUGGGCGUAAAGCGCGCGCAGGCGGUUUUCCAAGUCAGAGGUGAAAGCCCAGAGCUCAACUCUGGAACUGCCUUUGAAACUGGAAAACUAGGGUACGGGAGAGGUGAGUGGAAUUCCGAGUGUAGAGGUGAAAUUCGUAGAUAUUCGGAAGAACACCAGUGGCGAAGGCGGCUCACUGGCCCGUUACCGACGCUCAGGCGCGACAGCGUGGGGAGCAAACAGGAUUAGAUACCCUGGUAGUCCACGCCGUAAACGAUGGAUGCUAGCCCGUUGGUAAGCAUGCUUAUCAGUGGCGCAGCUAACGCAUUAAGCAUCCCCGCCUGGGGAGUACGGCCGCAAGGUUG
rnacentral:rRNA from 1 species